rnacentral:rRNA from 1 species
GUCUAUGGCCAUGCCACCCUGAACAAGCCCGAUCCUGUCUGAUCUCAGAAGCUAAGCAGGGUCGGGCCUGGUUAGUACUUGGAUGGGAGACCACCUAGGAAGACCAGGUGCUGUAGGCC